GGCGGGGCCCGGAGAUGGGCGUGGCGGCGCGGGCUGCGGGCGGGGCUACGGGGACCCCCGGGGCCGGACCGGGACGUGCGGGGCGCCGUGCGCGGCAGCGCGACCGCCGCGUCGCGGAGAACCGCGGGCCACGGGGGUCCCGCUCCGGGGACGGCCCCGCACCGGGCACCGGAACCCGUCCCCACGCGGUGCCCCGCGCCCCACGCCCGCACCCCGUGGCGCAGCCCCGCCCCGUUCCCCGCACGCCGCCCCCCACGGCCCCGGGGACCGCCCGUUGCCAGGAGCCGCCCGCAGCCGUGACCGCAGCACCGCGCCCUGCGGGAGGCUGCGGGACCCCCCCCGGCCCCACCGCACCAUGCGCGGCCUCGGCACGGUGCUGUCCCGCCGCUGGGACUCAGCCGAGCCCGGCGGCAACACCGGACACGGACGACGCGCCGCCGAAGCCCGGGGAUGGAUCCUGGACCCGUCCGGGGAGCGCUACUACUGGUGGCUGAGCGCCAUGGUGCUGCCCGUGCUGUACAAUUGGGUCGUCA
rnacentral:lncRNA from 1 species